UAAGGAAUAUUGGUCAAUGGACGGAAGUCUGAACCAGCCAUGCCGCGUGGAGGAUGAAGGUCCUCUGGAUUGUAAACUUCUUUUAUGGGGGGCGAAAAAGGGCCAAUCUUGGUCAACUGACGGUACCUCAUGAAUAAGCACCGGCUAACUCCGUGCCAGCAGCCGCGGUAAUACGGAGGGUGCAAGCGUUAUCCGGAUUUACUGGGUUUAAAGGGAGCGUAGGCGGGCCGUUAAGUCCGUGGUGAAAGCCCUCAGCUCAACUGAGGAAUUGCCGUGGAUACUAUCGGUCUUGAAUGUCGUUGAGGUUUGCGGAAUGGGUCAUGUAGCGGUGAAAUGCAUAGAUAUGACCCGGAACACCGAUUGCGAAGGCAGCAGGCUAAACGAAUAUUGACGCUGAGGC
rnacentral:rRNA from 1 species